CCUACGGGGGGCAGCAGUAGGGAAUCUUCCACAAUGGGCGCAAGCCUGAUGGAGCAACACCGCGUGAGUGAAGAAGGGUUUCGGCUCGUAAAGCUCUGUUGUUGGAGAAGAACGUGCGUGAGAGUAACUGUUCACGCAGUGACGGUAUCCAACCAGAAAGUCACGGCUAACUACGUGCCAGCAGCCGCGGUAAUACGUAGGUGGCAAGCGUUAUCCGGAUUUAUUGGGCGUAAAGCGAGUGUAGGCGGUUGCUUAGGUCUGAUGUGAAAGCCUUCGGCUUAACCGAAGAAGGGCAUCGGAAACCGGGCAACUUGAGUGCAGAAGAGGACAGUGGAACUCCAUGUGUAGCGGUGGAAUGCGUAGAUAUAUGGAAGAACACCAGUGGCGAAGGCGGCUGUCUGGUCUGCAACUGACGCUGAGGCUCGAAAGCAUGGGUAGCGAACAGGAUUAGAUACCCCAGUAGUC
rnacentral:rRNA from 1 species